AGUGAACGCUGGCGGUAGGCCUAACACAUGCAAGUCGAACGGCAGCACAGGAGAGCUUGCUCCCUGGGUGGCGAGUGGCGGACGGGUGAGGAAUACAUCGGAAUCUACUUUUUCGUGGGGGAUAACGUAGGGAAACUUACGCUAAUACCGCAUACGACCUACGGGUGAAAGCAGGGGACCUUCGGGCCUUGCGCGAUUGAAUGAGCCGAUGUCGGAUUAGCUGGUUGGCGGGGUAAAGGCCCACCAAGGCGACGAUCCGUAGCUGGUCUGAGAGGAUGGUCAGCCAGCCUGGAACUGAGACACGGUCCAGACUCCUACGGGAGGCAGCAGUGGGGAAUAUUGGACAAUGGGAGCAAGACUGAUCCAGGCAUACCGCGUGGGUGAAGAAGGCCUUCGGGUUGUAAAGCCCUUUUGUUGGGAAAGAAAUCCAGCUGGCUAAUACCCGGUUGGGAUGACGGUACCCAAAGAAUAAGCACCGGCUAACUUCGUGCCAGCAGCCGCCGCCG
rnacentral:rRNA from 1 species